ACUCCUGAGCUCUGUGCUGCAACCUUGGGGCAUUGGGCUCUGUCUUUCGGCCCCUCGGGGUCAGACCCCUGCUGUGUUGGGGGAUCCGAAGUGCUCCCAAGCUGCCUGGAAAGCAUUCAGGCGGGGUCGCUAGCAAGAACUCAGGCUGGGCAGCGGAGGCGGCACAGUGCACACACUCCUGCAGGAACAACCAGACAGGGGCUUUGGGAGGGGCUGCGUGCAGGGGGUCCCGCAGAACAUAUGCGCCCCAGUCCCGCAGGAAGGACCGCCCUGCUCUCUCUUGGCUCACUGGAAACGUUCUGGGCCUGGAACUAGUCCUGGCACUCACCCCGCGCAGGGUUCCCAGCUUCCUUCCUCUUCAGCCUCGUGUCUGUGUGGCCGCUCUGUGGACUCAGCGUUUCACUGCGAAGAUCUGCUCAGAGUGUGUUGGUUUACGGGAUAUUUUGGUGUCUCGGUGGGAGCAGCACUUAUUGACUGCAUCUGUUAUUUUUCUGGGAAAAAUCAUCUAAUCAAGAUGUUUCUGGGAGCAAUGUAACACAACAAUUCAAACGCAAGAAGGCAUCUCAUCUUGAGCAAAUAAAUAGGAAUAAUGCCAAAUGCUUUUUAUGUCUCAGACACUACACAUGUAUGAAUCUUUAAAUAAC
rnacentral:lncRNA from 1 species